AGGUCUGAUGAAGUGUUGCACUCGAUACUCUCCUCUGUUGUGGCUUCAAGCGUGCAGCUCAUCUACAGGGCAUCGUAGCGUGAUCAAUAAAGUGCAGCUACAGCACUGCAAGGGUCAGCUGGUGACACACAUCAAACGCUUGACCUACUGUCCGCACAAUCCGCAUGGCUUGUGACUGCAAAGGGAGACAAGAACGUUUGUUUUUCGGCUGCGGACUGGAAGGAAAGGGAGCCGGUGGGAAGAAAAUGAGGUGGAAUAGGAGAAAGGAUUGCUCAGGGGGUUGUUUGACAUAACUCAUGAGUGGCGGCGGGAGCGAACAGGGGAAAGCUUCGAUUGCUCUGUAUUGAUUCUGCUGCUAUAGUGAUGAAUUGGCCAAUUACAACCGAAAGUCAAGAUUCUAUGAAAGGAAGUAAAAAAAUAAAAUCAAAUGCUUUUUUUGCUGCAUAAUUAAAAAAAAGGUUCCUACUUGUCUUAACUCAUUGGCUCCCAAUGAUGGCACUAGACGUCCAAUCCAUUUAGACUGGGAGAUGCUGGCAGCAAAGGAUAGCCAGCCUUUCGAAUCAAAUGGACUGGAUUUCUAGCGCCAUCAAUUGUAGCCAAUGAUUUGAUAAUCUCUGUCAUACAGUUGAACAAUUACAAUAUAUCACACUUUUACAUUUUACUUCCUAUAACGUCUCCUUUAAGUAAUCACUAGUAUCAUAAAUAGGUGUCACCGGAAUCAACAGCAACUGGGAGAAAGACAUACUGUAGAAAGAAUGGUAAAAAAUACACAUUCACAGCAGCCUUUUGCUUUACAUUCCUGCUUUUUUCCCUAAAUACCUUACUUUGCUUGGUUUACAAGGAGCAUAAUAACUGAUUUCUCAAUUAUGUGAAUGUUGAAAAUUCUAUCACUUGUGAGAAACAAAUGAAACCAAAUGAA